GCGUCUAUAGCUCAAUGGUCAGAGUACUCAUCUGGAUUAAGAGGGUUGUGGGUUUGAGUCCUACUAGACACA
rfam:Melampsora larici-populina 98AG31 unplaced genomic scaffold MELLAscaffold_3, whole genome shotgun sequence.